rnacentral:rRNA from 1 species
UGCAGUCGAACGGCAGCACAGGAGAGCUUGCUCUCUGGGUGGCGAGUGGCGGACGGGUGAGGAAUACAUCGGAAUCUACCUUUUCGUGGGGGAUAACGUAGGGAAACUUACGCUAAUACCGCAUACGACCUACGGGUGAAAGUGGGGGACCGCAAGGCCUCACGCGAUUAGAUGAGCCGAUGUCCGAUUAGCUAGUUGGCGGGGUAAUGGCCCACCAAGGCGACGAUCGGUAGCUGGUCUGAGAGGAUGAUCAGCCACACUGGAACUGAGACACGGUCCAGACUCCUACGGGAGGCAGCAGUGGGGAAUAUUGGACAAUGGGCGCAAGCCUGAUCCAGCCAUACCGCGUGGGUGAAGAAGGCCUUCGGGUUGUAAAGCCCUUUUGUUGGGAAAGAAAUCCUGUCGAUUAAUACUCGGUGGGGAUGACGGUACCCAAAGAAUAAGCACCGGCUAACUUCGUGCCAGC